UGCACUUACAGUUCUGAGACCUCGGCCCUCUCCUCAGCUCUCUCCAGUUCUCCCUCAAGGAUUACCAGCUUACGGGCUACCUAAGCCUUCUCGGCCUCCUCCAGUUUCUGCAGCGCAGUGGCCAGCCUCUCCUGGGCCCGGUCCAACUCCUCCUCCACCAGCUGGAUCCUGCGGUUCAGACCCGCCACAUCACCCUCCGCCUGGGAGAAGAGAGGGGGAUGAGGUCAAAGGUGGCAACACGCAUCUCUGCGUGCUUGGUAGAUAUCUCAGCUUAGAUGUCGGCCCACCACCUCAAGCUCAACCUUGACAAGAAGGUGCUGCUCUUCAUUCCGGAGAAGACCGGCCCGCUCAAAGACCUCUCCAUCCAGAUUGACAACUCCACAAGCUCCCCCUUGCAGAAUGCAGAGAACCUUGGCGUAACCAUGGACAACACCCUGUCGUUCUCUGCAAACAUCAAAACAGUGACUCGCUCAUGUAGGUUCAUGCUCUACAACAUCC